CCCGACUGCUAUUUGGGUGAGAAUAAGCCAUGCGAGUUGAAUGGAAUACCUAAAUUUUCCAUGGCAAACUGCUCAGUAACACGUGAUCAACUUACCCUAUAGAGUAAAAUAACCUCGGGAAACUGAGGAUAAUGUUUCAUAGUUGAAAAGGCUUGGAAAAGUUUUUCAAUCAAAAGGAUAAAAAAAAUGGUUUUUAUCCGCUAUAGGAUAGGAUCGUGGUCGAUUAUGGUUGUUGGUGAGGUAAUGGCUCACCAAGCCGAUAAUCGAUAGGGGCCGUGAGAGCGGGAGCCCCGAGAUGGGUACUGAGACAACGACCCAGGCCUCACGAGGCGCAGCAGGCGCGAAACCUCCGCAAUACACGAAAGUGUGACGGGGUUACCCAAAGUGUUCAAUUUUGAACUGUGGUAGGUGAGUAAUGUUCCCUACUAGAAAGGAGAGGGCAAGGCUGGUGCCAGCCGCCGCGGUAAAACCAGCUCUUCAAGUGGUCGGGAUAAUAUUGGGCUUAAAGUGUCCGUAGCCGGUUUAGUAAGUUCCUGGUAAAAUCGGGUAGCUUAACUAUCUGUAUGCUAGGAAUACUGCUAAACUAGAGGGCGGGAGAGGUCUGAGGUACUACAGGGGUAGGGGUGAAAUCUUAUAAUCCUUGUAGGACCACCAGUGGCGAAGGCGUCAGACUGGAACGUGCCUGACGGUGAGGGACGAAAGCCAGGGGAGCGAACCGGAUUAGAUACCCGGGUAGUCCUGGCCGUAAACGAUGCAUACUAGGUGAUGGCAUGGCCAUGAGCCGUGUCAGUGCCGUAGGGAAACCGUUAAGUAUG
rnacentral:rRNA from 1 species